UUAAGGACACUUUUUAAAAAUGCACUUUGUAAUAAUAUCUAAAUAAUUUUAAAUUAUAGUAAGUACACUUUCAUCAUAAUAUUUAUAAACACACUUAAGUGCACUUUUAAAAAUGCACUUUGUAUUAAUGUCUAAUUAAGCUUAACUUAAAGAAAGUACACUUUCAACAUAAUAUUUAUAAACACACUUAAGUGCACUUUUAAAAAUGCACUUUUUAAUAAUGUCUAAUUAAGCUUAACUUAUAGUAAGUACACUUUCAUCACAAUAUUUCUUAACAUACUUAAGUACACUUUUUAAAAAUGCACUUUGUCUAAUUUAGUUUUACUUAAAUGUAACCCUGGUUAAAUAAUUAAAUAUUAUUAUUUUAAAAGUGUGCUUAAAAAUAAUAGAGACUAUUCAUACAUCUACAUUUAUUUUAUAAAUGAGGAAAUACAUGUGAAUAAUUCAAUCUGAAUUAUAAAUCUGAAAUGAGUAAACCAAUCGGAGUGUUUAAUUGUAAGCUCCGCCCCUUUUUUGCUUUCGGAUCGCGUCUCAGUUCAGAGGAGAGAUGCAGAGCGACAGAGACACUCUAUCUAACGCGAGAGUGUUUAAUUUGAUUAAAUAUGACUCUUAAGUUCAUAUAAACUGAAGAAAUCAGAAUUUAACUUGCAUAUAUUCAAUGAUACAGCGUGAUUGUGUGGAUUGAGCACUUUUUGAGCUUUCAUUUUGACCUGUGUGAUUAUGUAAAACCACAUGCGUUGUGUUCACUGCUGUUCGCUGACGCCAUUUUGGUUGCACGUGCCUGUGAAAGACAAAAAGAGAGAGAAACACGUGAAUGGACAGGUAUUUGUCUAAAUUGUCAUUUAUUAUGAUGAUGGCACUUAUGUAUGUAUUUUAUUUGUUUCCUGUAUUGUGUACAAUUGUUCAUCAUUAUUGAUACACAAUAUUGAAUGUUUUUUCCUUUCUUAUGAACAUUCCUUGAGCUGGAUUUUCCUAAUUGAUGGCGAGCCUCCCAUUUCGACCUGAUUGGAUCACGAAUCUAGAGGAAAGGACAAAUUUCUAUUUUAAAUAUUUUUCUUCAGACAAGUAAGAGGAUACAUUUCAGAAACUGUUUCCUUAUUUUGUUUGUUUACUUCAUUGAACUGAAACAUUCCAGAAGCACAAAUCUGAUAAUUUAAGACUGAUCAAUACUCCAAUUGAUAAGAACUUUGAACUUGAAUACGGAUUUCAGUGUGUUACAUAUAUAAUUUGUACCAUCUUUGUACAUUGAUUGUGACUGUGAUUUCUGUAAAUGAGAAGUAAUUUAGAGGGUGCACCCAUAGUAUAUAUCCCCCUUCUUCAAAUCUUACCCUGGAGGUCCGGAGCACUACAGAGUUUAGCUCCAACCCAUAUCAAACACACCUGAGCAAGCUAAUCAAGGUCUUCAUGAUCACUAGGAAAUCACAGGUGGGUAAGUUUGAUUAGGGUUGGAGCUAAACUCUGUAGUGCUCUGGACCUCCAGGGUAAGAUUUGUUGCUCACUAUCACUGCUACCUCCUCCUUCGUACCGUGCACCCUUCUGAUCUUAUUAUUAUGCCUGGUCCAUAAGUAAGUGAGUUAAUACCCGCUACAUAAAGAAAGUACACUUUCAUGGCAAUAUUUCUAAACGCAUUUAAUAAAUGAUCAUUAGACUGA